CCUCUCCUCUCAGUCCUCAAUCCCGGCGAGUGCAGGCAUCACUGAAGACCUGACACCGGCGGAAUCGGACGUCCACUGUCCCCGGCAGAAUUAACCAGGUGUUAUCUUAUGCAAAACUUAAUCGCCGUCAGAUGAAGUUGACCAAUCCUGCCGAUGAGAAUGAGCCCACUUCGCGGAAGGAACCGACUUUUUUCCGUCUCAAAACCUUCGGAGAGGCGCAGGGGCGAAACAAUAACGCCCAGAAGUUAUUGAAAUGAAUCGAGCUGGCACGAGAAGAAGAAACAGAACAAGCGCUAGCAGCGUUAGCCUUUACCACAGAGGGAACGAAGGGAAGCAGAAGAGCAAACGAGGAAAACGCAAGAGCGUUGAAAAAGAGGUCCAGACAUGAAUGAGGCACACAGUAACACACACACAUGUCCAAUGGCACCUAGAGUCUGUCUGCGGUCUACCUCCAUCCUGCCAUACACACGCACACACACAUGCGAUGUGUGUGUGUGUGUGUGUAUGUCUGUUACGGGCAGCAGAUAAAGAGGGAGACGCCAUUCCAGCUGUGAGGAGACAGAAGAAGUCAACAUAACACACUCACACAAACACACAUACGCACGCACACACAGAGCCGGAGGCGCGUGAGCAGGUGAGCAUUAAGUCAGGCAGCUAAACAGAUCACGUCGCGGUAUGAUAUCUGCAGACAGGCAGACAGAGGAGGCCGGUCUGUACCUGCAGGCAGAGAGCAACAACUCACAGCACCCUCGCCAGGAAUUUCCUCCCCCUCCUGAGAGAGAGGGGGAGAGGGAGAGGGAGUGAAGGAGAGACAGACAUAAACUGGGGUUUCCACUGAAGUGUUUUUAGGCAAGCCAAAAAGUUACAGCCUGGUUAGAAACUAAGUGGCAAAUUUUCUUUUCUUAGAUACCUUCAGUGUGACAAAAUAUUUUAUU